rnacentral:rRNA from 1 species
UACAGAGGGGGCAAGCGUUGUUCGGAAUUACUGGGCGUAAAGGGCGCGUAGGCGGCCGCCUAAGUCAGACGUGAAAUCCCUCGGCUCAACCGGGGAACUGCGUCUGAUACUGGGUGGCUUGAAUCCGGGAGAGGGAUGCGGAAUUCCAGGUGUAGCGGUGAAAUGCGCAGAUAUCUGGAGGAAUACCGGUGGCGAAGGCGGCCUUCUGGACCAUAACUGACGCUGAUCCGCGAAAGCUAGGGGAGCAAACGGG